rnacentral:rRNA from 1 species
CCUACGGGUGGCUGCAGUGGGGAAUAUUGCACAUUGGGGGAAACCCUGAUGCAGCGACGCCGCGUGAGUGAAGAAGUAUUUCGGUGUGUAAAACUCUAUCAGCAGGGAAGAAAAUGCCGGUACCUGAUUAAGAAGCCAAGGCUAAUUCCGUUCCGGCAGCGGCGGUAAUACGGAGGGUGCAGGCGUUAUCCGGAUUUAAUGGGGGUAAAGGGGACGUAGGCGGCAGGACAAGUAUGGAGUGAAAUGCCGAGGCUUAACCCCGGAACUGCUUUGGAAACUGUGCAGCUAGAGUGCAGGAGAGGUAAGUGGAAUGCCUAGUGUAGCGGUGAAAUGCGUAGAUAUCAGGAGGAACACCAGUGGCGAAGGCGGCUUACUGGACUGUAACUGACGUUGAGGCGCGAAAGCGUGGGGAGCAAACAGGAUUAGAUACCCCUGUAGUC